rnacentral:lncRNA from 1 species
CAAGUAUUUGCUGGUUCUUGUGUGUACUUACUCUGGGUGGGCGGAGUCUUCCCCAACACGAACCGAAAAGGCCUACGAAGUAACCCUUGUGCUUCUCCGAGACCUUAUUCCUAGGUUUGGACUGCCCUUAUGAAUCAGCUCAGAUAACGGGCCGGCGUUUGUGGCUGACUUGGUACGGAAGACAGCAAAGGCAUUAGGAAUCACUUGGAAGCUGCGUGCCGCCUACUGACCUCAGAGUUUCGGAAAGUUGAUCGUGUGUGGAUCAAGGACUGGAACGUAGCCCCUUUGCGGCCAUGGUGGAAAGGACCUCAGACCGUCAUCCUGACCACCCCCACGGCUGUAAAGGUAGAAGGAAUCCCAGCCUGGAUCCACCACAGCCAUGUGAAACUGGCAGCCGCUGAAACCUGGGAGGCAAAACCGAGCCCGGACAACCCCUGCGAAGUGACUCUGAGGAGGCCGACAAACCCUGCUCCAGUCACACCCGGAAGCUGACUGGUCUACGCACGGCCGAAGCAUGAGGAGAAUCAUCGUGGGACUCAUUUUCCUUAUAAUUUGGACUUGUAUAGUAAAAACUUCCACUGAUUUUCCCCGCAUGGAGGACUGCUCUCAGUGUAUACAUCAGGUUACUGAGGUAAGGCAACAAGUUAAAACAAUCUUUCUGUUCUAUAGUUACUGUGAAUGCCUAGGAACUUUAAAAGGAACAUGUUUAUAUACUGACACUCAGUACAAGGUAUGUAGCCUAGGAAACGACCGGCCAGCUGUGUGUUAUGACCCCUCUGAGCUUAUCCAACACGAAACUGAAAAGGCCUACGAAGUAACCCGUGUGCUUCCCUGAGACCUUAUUCCUAGGUUUGGACUGCCCUUACGAAUUGGCUUAGAUAAUGGGCCGGCGUUUGUGGCUGACGGUUUUUGAAAUAAGAUUAAGGGCUGAAGACUAGUGGGGACGCGUAAAUGAUACAAGUAAAGUAAUAGCCAGAACAGAAGAGAAAGGGGUGCCCAAACACAUAAUCUUGAAAUUUGAUGCCUGUGCUGUCAUUAGUGGCAGUAAAUUAGGAAAGGGAUGUGGCUCUUUUGGGAAAAAGGCGAUAUGACUGAAAAUAAGUACAUUUGUCAUGAAUUAGGACUGUGUGGAAAUGAAUGUGAACACUGGUCUUGUGUCAUUUAGGCCACUUGGAUAAAAAAAUGAAAAGGAUCCAGUCCACUUCAGAAAGGAAAAAGUGGCCCUUCCUGUACUAAGGGACAAUGUAACCCCUUAGAGCUAGCAACAACCAAUCCCCUUGAUCCUUGCUGGAAAAGAGGGGAGCAUGUGACCUUAGGAAUCGAUGGGGCAGGACUGGAUCCUUGAGUAAAUAUCUUAGUUCGAGGAGAAGUUUACAAACGCUCUGCUCAGCCAGUGUUUCAAACUUUCUAAGAUGAACUAAAUGUGCCAGUACCAGAAAUUCCAGGAAAAACAAGAAAUUUGUUUUUGCAAUUAGCCAAGCAUGUAGCCCAGUCUCUCAGUGUCACUUCAUGUUAUGUAUGUGGAGGAACUGUGAUGGGAGAUCAAUGGCCAUGGGAAGCCCAAGAAUUAGUACCUACAGACCCAGUUCCCAAUGAAUUCCCAGCUCAAAAGAGUCACCUUGAUAAUUUCUGGACCCUGAAGCCUCAAUUAUUGGACAAUAUUGCAUAGCUAGAGAAGGAAAAUAAUUCACUCACCCCUUAGGACAACUUAGUUGUCUGGGACAGAAACUGUAUAAUGGUACCACAAAAACAGUCACUUGGUGGAGUUCAAAUCACACAGAAAGGAAUCCAUUUAGUAAAUUCCCAAGGUUGCAAACCAUGUGGACCCACCUGGAGUCCCACUAGGACUGGACAGCCCCCACUGGAUUAUACUGGCUAUGUGGGCAUAGAGCUUACGCUAAAUUACCUGGCCAGUGGGCAGGUAGUUGUAUUACUGGCACUAUUAAACCAUCUUUCUUCCUACUGUCCAUAAAGACAGGCGAACUCCUGGGCUUCCCUGUCUAUGCUUCCCAUGAAAAAAGAAGCAUAGCUAUAGGAAAUUGGAAAGAUAAUGAAUGGCCCCCAGAGAGAAUCAUACAAUAUUAUGGACCUGCUACUUGGGGACGAGAUGGUUCAUGGGGAUACUAGACCCCCAUUUACAUGCUCAACCAAAUCAUAUGGUUACAAGCUGUCUUAGAAAUAAUCACUAAUAUGGGCUGGGCGCGGUGGCUCACACCUGUAAUCCCAGCACUUUGGGAGGCCAACGCAGGUGGAUCACGAGGUCAGGAGAUUGAGACCAUCCUGGCUAACAUGGUGAAACCCCGUCUCUACUAACAAUACAAAAAAUUAGCCAGGGGUGGUGGCGGGUGCCUGUGGUUCCAGCUACUUGGGAGGCUGAGGCAGGAGAAUGGCGUGAACCUGGGAGGCAGAGCUUGCAGCGAGCCGAGAUUGUGCCACUGCACUCCAGCCUGGGCGACAGAGUGAGACUCCAUCUCAAAAAAAAAAAAAAAAAGAAAAGAAAGAAAGAAUCACUAAUAAAACCGACAGAGCCUUGACUAUUCUGGCCUGUCAAGAGACUCAGAUGAGAAAUGCUAUCUAUCAAAAUAGAUUGGCUCUUGACUACUUGCUAGCAGCUGAAGGAGGGGUCUGUGGGAAAUUUAACCUUACUAAUUGCUGUCUACACGUAGAUGAUCAAGGGCAAGUAGUUGAAGACAUAGUCAGAGAUAUGAUAAAACUGUCACAUGUGCCCAUGCAAGUGUGGCAUGGAUUUGAUCCUGGGGCCAUGUUUGGAAAAUGGUUCCCAGUGUUAGGAGGAUUUAAAACUCUUAUAAUAGGAGUUAUAUUAGUAAUAGGAACCUGCUUACUGCUCCCUUGUUUGCUACCUGUACUUCUUCAAAUGAUAAAAAGCUUCAUCGCUACCUUAGUUCACCAAAAUGCUUCAGAACAACUGUACUAUAUGAAUCACUAUCGAUCUGUCUUGCAAGAAUACAUGGGUAGUGAGGAUGAAAGUGAGAACUCCCACUAAUUGACUGAGGUUCUCAAAGUGGGGGAAUAAGGGAGGAGACCACCCCUCAUAUUGUCUUAUGCCCAAUUUCUGCCUCCAAAGAAAGAAGUAAAAAUUAAAAGGCAGAAAUGGAAUCCACAGGCAGAUAGCCCAGCAUCACGCCCUGGGCCUGGUAGUUAAGAAUCAACCCCUGACCUAACUGCUCGUGUUAUCUAUAGAUUUCAGACAUUGUAUGGAAAAACAUUGUGAAAAUCCCUGUCCUGUUUUAUUCCGUUCUGAUGACCGGUGCAUGCAGCUCCCAGUCACGUACCCACUGCUUGCUUAAUUGAUCACGACCCUCUCACGCGGACCCCGUUAGAGUUGUAAGCCCUUAAAAGGGACAGGAAUUGCUCACUCGGGGAGCUCGGUUUUUGGAAACGUGAGUCUGCUGAUGCUUCCAGCUGAAUAAAGCCCUUUC